GAGUGAACGCUGGCGGUAGGCCUAACACAUGCAAGUCGAACGGCAGCACAGGAGAGCUUGCUCUCUGGGUGGCGAGUGGCGGACGGGUGAGGAAUACAUCGGAAUYUACCUUUUYGUGGGGGAUAACGUAGGGAAACUUACGCUAAUACCGCAUACGACCUUCGGGUGAAAGCAGGGGACCUUCGGGCCUUGCGCGGAUAGAUGAGCCGAUGUCGGAUUAGCUAGUUGGCGGGGUAAAGGCCCMCCAAGGCGACGAUCCGUAGCUGGUCUGAGAGGAUGAUCAGCCACACUGGAACUGAGACACGGUCCAGACUCCUACGGGAGGCAGCAGUGGGGAAUAUUGGACAAUGGGCGCAAGCCUGAUCCAGCCAUACCGCGUGGGUGAAGAAGGCCUUCGGGUUGUAAAGCCCUUUUGUUGGGAAAGAAAAGCAGUCGGCUAAUACCCG
rnacentral:rRNA from 1 species